AAUAUUAAGAUAUAUAUAUAUAUAUAUAUAUAUACAGAUAGAUAGAUACUGUCCCUUUGGGAAUUUGCAGGAGGAAAGAGUUGCAAGUGUGGAAUGUUCAGACAGUACUCUGUAGUAUAAAUAAUAAUGGAAGAAGAACUGAAUCAGAAAAAGGAUGAUGAACUUGUGAGUGAGAUAAAGCAACUACAAGAAAGAAUCUACGGUGAUCCCACUGCCCAAACGGUGUUAUUCCUUCUCCAAACGGCCAAGGCACUUGACAGACAAGAAUCUGAACUCCAAUCUAGGUGCAUCUUAGAACAUUCUAAAUUGCAAGCUAAGGUUGAUGAGUUUGAGGACCUACUACAAAGAGGCAAAGAGGGGAAGUUCUCAGAAAGUUUGGACCAUACUUUUCGGGACUCCACUGAGAAGCUUGAUUCUGCAAAAAGAGAACUUGCAGCUAAUUUGAGGUCAAUUCUGUCAUUUAAACGUCAGCUCGAUGAUGUGCCAUCACAAGCUGAGCUCAUUCAGUAUGAACUCCGUUUUUCAGAACUUUAUACUCAUAUCCAGGCCAAGGAUCGUCAAACCCGUCGAUACUAUGCUACUUACAACACAUUGUUGGAGAUAAAAGAAUUGAUGCUAAAGGAAACAUCGUUACUGAACUCCAUACGCUCACAGUUCAAAGAUGCUCUUACUAGCCCUGCUGGUCGAAAGAAAUUAAUUGAUUCAAUGGAAGGAAUUCUGCAUGGAACUCAACAGAAGCUGGAAAAGGUGCAAAUUGCACUACAGUCGGAGCAGAAAGCUCAUGAAGCUCUCAAGGGGAAAUAUGCAGCUGCAAUUUCGGAGCAAAGGCAUUACAAUUCUAUCUUAAAGGCUUUCCAGAGUAGCAUGUGGACUCUGCAGCUCCGCAUCUCUACAACAGCAGGAUUUGUUGGAUGUGGGCAGGUUUAAUGUUGGGUUUUAAAGAAAGCUAGUCUACCUUCAAAUCCAUAUUUCUGCAAAGCUAAGUGGAAUGUGCAAGGAAUGAAAGACUUCGCAUGCAGACUUCACAAGAACAUUUAACAAGUUGAUAUAUGUAUUUCGGGUUGAAGAAGUGUUCCAUUCUUCAAGAAAUAGGUAGUACUAGAUCUGAGUACCUUCAACUCAUGUGCAAAGUUACCUUGUAUUGGAAAAAAAUUAAUUGAUAAAUCUGCUUAACGUAAUGUAAUGCAAACUAGCUUCUAGCAUUUGAUGCUCUUAAUGUAGUGUGUGUUUCGUAUUGGGGUGCAGGAGAGGAAUAUUUGCUAAAGAAGUUUUGUUUAUUUG